rnacentral:lncRNA from 1 species
GUGCUAGCACUGAUUUCCUUAAAACAAGUUUAUUAAUGUAGUUAUUGGUUAGAACAAAUAAAAAUAUGGACCAAAUCAAGUACACCUUUUAGGGUGCGCUCGACUUUAGUUACUCUGCACGAGGUAUUUUGGAAUUUACAGGUUGGUUAGAACUUUUUGUAAAAAAUAAACACUAGCACAUCAUAGAAAAGCAAGUGAGUAAUCUAUGUUUCAAAUUUUAUAACAAAAAUCUCUUUAUUAAAGGCUGUGGAUUUUCUAUAAAAAAUCUUGGUUUAUUUGCCACAAAGUACUCUUUUUCUAUUAAAUGCAAUGCAACAGUAAAUAAUAAUGCUUUGCAUCAAGUUUCCCCCUAGUAUAUGUUCAAAAUGGCCUGUCUCUAUUAUUCAUUAUAUCUGUAGUUUUGAUACAAUUGAUGUUUUAAAAAAUCGUACAAAAAUGGCUACAGAAGGGUACAUAAACCUUAA